UUAAGCGACUAAGCGUACACGGUGGAUGCCUAGGCAGUCAGAGGCGAUGAAGGGCGUGCUAAUCUGCGAAAAGCGUCGGUAAGCUGAUAUGAGGCGUAACAACCGACGAUACCCGAAUGGGGAAACCCAGUGCAAUUCGUUGCACUAUUGCAUGGUGAAUACAUAGCCAUGCAAGGCGAACCGGGGGAACUGAAACAUCUAAGUACCCCGAGGAAAAGAAAUCAACCGAGAUUCCCCAGUAGCGGCGAGCGAACGGGGAAGAGCCCAGAGUCUGAAUCAGUUUGUGUGUUAGUGGAAGCGUCUGGAAAGUCGCACGGUACAGGGUGAUAGUCCCGUACACAAAAACACACUGGCUGUGAACUCGAUGAGUAGGGCGGGACACGUGACAUCCUGUCUGAAUAUGGGGGGACCAUCCUCCAAGGCUAAAUACUCCUGACUGACCGAUAGUGAACCAGUACCGUGAGGGAAAGGCGAAAAGAACCCCGGCGAGGGGAGUGAAAUAGAACCUGAAACCGUGUACGUACAAGCAGUGGGAGCCCCACCACCAAAGCAUUCUCUGGUGUUAAAGGCCAUGCUGAAGCUCAAUCACGCGUUGGCGGAGCGUCCUUUGCGACGCCCAACACAAAAACAAGCGGUGAGUGCUUUGGGGUGGGGUGACUGCGUACCUUUUGUAUAAUGGGUCAGCGACUUAUAUUUUGUAGCAAGGUUAACCGAAUAGGGGAGCCGUAGGGAAACCGAGUCUUAACUGGGCGUCUAGUUGCAAGGUAUAGACCCGAAACCCGGUGAUCUAGCCAUGGGCAGGUUGAAGGUUGGGUAACACUAACUGGAGGACCGAACCGACUAAUGUUGAAAAAUUAGCGGAUGACUUGUGGCUGGGGGUGAAAGGCCAAUCAAACCGGGAGAUAGCUGGUUCUCCCCGAAAGCUAUUUAGGUAGCGCCUCGUGAACUCAUCUUCGGGGGUAGAGCACUGUUUCGGCUAGGGGUCCAUCCCGGAUUACCAAACCGAUGCAAACUCCGAAUACCGAAGAAUGUUAUCACGGGAGACACACGGCGGGUGCUAACGUCCGUCGUGAAGAGGGAAACAACCCAGACCGCCAGCUAAGGUCCCAAAGUCAUGGUUAAGUGGGAAACGAUGUGGGAAGGCAUAGACAGCCAGGAUGUUGGCUUAGAAGCAGCCAUCAUUUAAAGAAAGCGUAAUAGCUCACUGGUCGAGUCGGCCUGCGCGGAAGAUGUAACGGGGCUAAACCAUGCACCGAAGCUGCGGCAGCGACGCUUAGGCGUUGUUGGGUAGGGGAGCGUUCUGUAAGCCGUUGAAGGUGGCCUGUGAGGGCUGCUGGAGGUAUCAGAAGUGCGAAUGCUGACAUAAGUAACGAUAAUGCGGGUGAAAAACCCGCACGCCGGAAGACCAAGGGUUCCUGUCCAACGUUAAUCGGGGCAGGGUGAGUCGACCCCUAAGGCGAGGCUGAAAAGCGUAGUCGAUGGGAAACAGGUUAAUAUUCCUGUACUGGGUGUGACUGCGAAGGGGGGACGGAGAAGGCUAGGCUAGCCGGGCGACGGUUGUCCCGGUUUAAGCAUGUAGGCGGAGUGACUUGGUAAAUCCGGUUGCUUAUCAACGCUGAGGUGUGAUGACGAGCCACUACGGUGGUGAAGUAGUUGAUGCCAAGCUUCCAGGAAAAGCCUCUAAGCAUCAGGUGACAUUCAAUCGUACCCCAAACCGACACAGGUGGUCAGGUAGAGAAUACUCAGGCGCUUGAGAGAACUCGGGUGAAGGAACUAGGCAAAAUGGUGCCGUAACUUCGGGAGAAGGCACGCUGGCAUUAGGUAAAGAGACUUGCUCUCGGCGCCGAAGCCAGUCGCAGAUACCAGCUGGCUGCAACUGUUUAAUAAAAACACAGCACUGUGCAAACACGAAAGUGGACGUAUACGGUGUGACGCCUGCCCGGUGCUGGAAGGUUAAUUGAUGGGGUCAGCCGCAAGGCGAAGCUCUUGAUCGAAGCCCCAGUAAACGGCGGCCGUAACUAUAACGGUCCUAAGGUAGCGAAAUUCCUUGUCGGGUAAGUUCCGACCUGCACGAAUGGCGUAAUGAUGGCCAGGCUGUCUCCACCCGAGACUCAGUGAAAUUGAACUCGCUGUGAAGAUGCAGUGUACCCGCGGCAAGACGGAAAGACCCCGUGAACCUUUACUAUAGCUUGACACUGAAUAUUGAGCCUUGAUGUGUAGGAUAGGUGGGAGGCAUCGAAGCGUGGACGCCAGUCUGCGUGGAGCCAACCUUGAAAUACCACCCUUUAAUGUUUGAUGUUCUAACUCGGCCCCAUAAUCUGGGGUGAGGACAGUGUCUGGUGGGUAGUUUGACUGGGGCGGUCUCCUCCCAAAGAGUAACGGAGGAGCACGAAGGUUAGCUAAUCACGGUCGGACAUCGUGAGGUUAGUGCAAAGGCAUAAGCUAGCUUGACUGCGAGAGUGACGGCUCGAGCAGGUACGAAAGUAGGUCUUAGUGAUCCGGUGGUUCUGAAUGGAAGGGCCAUCGCUCAACGGAUAAAAGGUACUCCGGGGAUAACAGGCUGAUACCGCCCAAGAGUUCAUAUCGACGGCGGUGUUUGGCACCUCGAUGUCGGCUCAUCACAUCCUGGGGCUGAAGUAGGUCCCAAGGGUAUGGCUGUUCGCCAUUUAAAGUGGUACGCGAGCUGGGUUUAGAACGUCGUGAGACAGUUCGGUCCCUAUCUGCCGUGGGCGUUGGAAGAUUGAGAGGGGCUGCUCCUAGUACGAGAGGACCGGAGUGGACGCAUCACUGGUGUUCGGGUUGUCAUGCCAAUGGCAUUGCCCGGUAGCUAAAUGCGGAAAAGAUAAGCGCUGAAAGCAUCUAAGCGCGAAACUUGCCUCGAGAUGAGUCUUCCCUGGGGCUUUAAGCCCCCUGAAGGAACGUUAAAGACUAUGACGUUGAUAGGCUGGGUGUGUAAGUGCAGCGAUGCAUUGAGCUAACCAGUACUAAUGAUCCGUGAGGCUUAACCUU
rnacentral:rRNA from 1 species